rnacentral:rRNA from 1 species
AGCGAACGCUGGCGGCAGGCCUAACACAUGCAAGUCGAACGAACCUUUCGGGGUUAGUGGCGGACGGGUGAGUAACACGUGGGAACGUGCCUUUAGGUUCGGAAUAACUCAGGGAAACUUGUGCUAAUACCGAAUGUGCCCUUCGGGGGAAAGAUUAAUCGCCUUUAGAGCGGCCCGCGUCUGAUUAGCUAGUUGGUUGAGGUAAUGGCUCACCAAGGCGACGAUCAGUAGCUGGUCUGAGAGGAUGAUCAGCCACAUUGGGACUGAGACACGGCCCAAACUCCUAAGGGAGGAAGAAGUGGGGAAUCUUGCGCAAUGGGCGAAAGCCUGACGCAGCCAUGCCGCGUGAAUGAUGAAGGUCUUAGGAUUGUAAAAUUCUUUCACCGGGGACGAUAAUGACGGUACCCGGAGAAGAAGCCCCGGCUAACUUCGUG